rnacentral:rRNA from 1 species
CCUACGGGAGGCAGCAGUGAGGAAUAUUGGUCAAUGGACGAGAGUCUGAACCAGCCAAGUAGCGUGAAGGAUGACUGCCCGAUGGGUUGUAAACUUCUUUUAUAUGGGAAUAAAAUGUUCCACGUGUGGGAUUUUGUAUGUACCAUAUGAAUAAGGAUCGGCUAACUCCGUGCCAGCAGCCGCGGUAAUACGGAGGAUCCGAGCGUUAUCCGGAUUUAUUGGGUUUAAAGGGAGCGUAGGUGGAUUGUUAAGUCAGUUGUGAAAGUUUGCGGCUCAACCGUAAAAUUGCAGUUGAAACUGGCAGUCUUGAGUACAGUAGAGGUGGGCGGAAUUCGUGGUGUAGCGGUGAAAUGCUUAGAUAUCACGAAGAACUCCGAUUGCGAAGGCAGUUCACUGGACUGCAACUGACACUGAGGCUCGAAAGUGUGGGUAUCAAACAGGAUUAGAUACCCCUGUAGUC